ensembl:miRNA
AAAGCUUACUAACUUAAAGCAACAAUGACUCAUUCUCCAUGCUUCUGUAGGUCGGCGGGGUGGCUCCUCUGCUGCUUCUGCCUGAACUCAAAAUGCUGGAUGCUGGAGGGUCAGUUGGGUUGGAAGGUCCC